rnacentral:tRNA from 1 species
GCCCAUGUAGCUCAGUGGCAGAGCACUCCCUUGGUAAGGGAGAGGUCACGCGUUCAAUCCGCGUCAUGGGCACCA